rnacentral:misc_RNA from 1 species
GACAUAUGGGGCGAGCGUUACUCGGAAUUACUAGGCGUAAAGCGCGUGUAGGCGGCGAUGCAAGUCCGCUGUGAAAUCUCCCGGCUCAACUGGGAGGGGUCGGCGGAAACUGCAUCGCUGGAGUGAGGUAGGGGGAAUCGGAAUUCCAGGUGUAGCGGUGAAAUGCGUAGAUAUCUGGAGGAACACCCGUGGCGAAAGCGGAUUCCUGGGCCUUCACUGACGCUGAGACGCGAAAGCUAGGGGAGCAAACAGG